GUGACAUUGUUCAACGGCCGCGGUAUCCUAACCGUGCGAAGGUAGCGUAAUCACUUGUUCUUUAAAUGAGGACUAGUAUGAACGGCUUCACGAAAGCUAUACUGUCUCCUUUAUCCAAUCAGUAAAACUAAUCUCCCCGUGAAGAAGCGGGGAUCUGUCUAUAAGACGAGAAGACCCUAUGGAGCUUUAAACAUCUUAAAACACUUGAGUACAUCAUUAAACUUCCGCAAACUUCAUUAAGCCCCUCAUUCUGCUUUAAGUUUUAGGUUGGGGCGACCACGGAGAACAACCCACCCUCCAUGUAGAAAGAACCUUUCUUCUAAGCGAAAAGCUACAUCUUUAUGCAUCAAUACAUUGACCUAAAUUGACCCA
rnacentral:rRNA from 1 species